UUAAUAUUCCCUCCGUCCCAUAUUAAGCGUCGCAAGUUUGUCUAGAUACGCAUGUAUCUACAGUUCUACACACUAAAACACGUCUAGAUACAUGCAUAUCUAGACAAACUUGCAACACUUAAUAUGGUACGCAGGGAGUACAAU
rfam:Brachypodium distachyon strain Bd21 chromosome 1, whole genome shotgun sequence.